ACAGUACCUGGAACCACGAAUCCCCUGCCGGUGUGAAUCCUGUCAGGCGCUUAUCAGCACAAGUACCGCGAGGUGAUCCAGACACCUCUACCUUCCGGCGUCUUUGCCAAUCGGGUCUGAUUAUGCUUUAGGCCUUGCUUUCUUACAAUCAGCUCGUAUAUCUUUUGGUCUGAAGUCAUCGUCAGUGCUGUUGUGACUUCUCUCCGUCCUGGCUUCAUCUCUUCUUCUUCUGCUUCAGGCACUCCUCCAACGCUGGCAGCUCCCAAACGCCCCUCACCUUGAGCACCCUCAAAGCCAAAUUAGCAGUUCAAGCGUUGCAAACAUGAAGACUGUCACGUUGUUUGCCUUGCUUGCGGCGUCAGUCGUUUCAGUGUUCGCUGCUCCUAUUUCGUCUCCAGAUGUUGCUCAAGCCAUACGACGAGAUGGGCGGGGGACAGAGUUUGACACAGACCUUUGUCUUCUCAAGAAACGGACGGGGGUGAUUGGCGAGGGGAUUGACAAUUGCGACAUGUGAGGAGGAUCUGGUUAUUGGGGCGGCAUUGCAGUGAUUUCUUUUUUUUUUUUUUUUUUUCGGAUGGAUGGAUGUCGGGUCCGAGGAGCCUGGAGGAAGAGGGGUGUCCAGUCACACAAGGGCAGCUAUGGUGGGGGACAAGCCUGUUCCUUCCGAAACAGUGCUGUUUCCCCGGGUUGGGUGUGAUUUAAGGCAGGCACGGAAGGAUCCGAGAAUAGCAAUCCCGUUGUAACUUCCGAAAAGGCUGACCUGAUCAGCGGGAUAAGACUGGACGGCUUUGGGUACCUAAGUAUCUAGGGAAGGUCCAUCUGUAGAGGUAUGUAAUUAAUUGAACGAGACUUGAUCCGUUCGGGUUCAGGUUGUCUUCU